ACAUGGACCUCCAGGUUGAGGGCCGUCUCCCUGAAGGAAAAUCUCAACGUGAACUGGUCCUAUGAGUCUGGGAUUGUUGAGAGCAUUGUUCAGAUUGUUGAAGAAUUCCGGGAAAGCAGGCAGCUUCUGCCAAUUAAAAUUUGCAUUCUUGGACCCCCCCCGCCAUUGGCAAAACCACUGUGGCAAAAGGCCUUUGGCAAAUACCUACAAAUUACAUUACAUUCAAGUAGGAGGAUGUUAUCAAGGAGAAAAUUGAGCAUCUGGAGGAAGCAGUUCAGAUUCCGGAACGUGGAGAACGAAAGCGAGGAGGAAAUGCUGAAGAACGCUACAGAUCUCAUGGAGUUACUUAAGAGCGGCCUGUCCAGGAGAGAAGGUCUGGUUUCACAUCUCUAA
ensembl:lncRNA